GUAACAAGGUUUCCGUAGGUGAACCUGCGGAAGGAUCAUUACAUUCAGUAGCCUAGCUACUUGUUUACACCCUUGUUUUUUGCGUACCUAUUGUUUCCUCGGCGGGCUUGCUCGCCGGUUGGACAAAACUAUAACCUUUUUUAAAUCUUCAAUCAGCGUCUGAAUUAUACAUAAUAAUUACAACUUUCAACAACGGAUCUCUUGGUUCUGGCAUCGAUGAAGAACGCAGCGAAAUGCGAUAAGUAGUGUGAAUUGCAGAAUUCAGUGAAUCAUCGAAUCUUUGAACGCACAUUGCGCCCCUUGGUAUUCCAUGGGGCAUGCCUGUUCGAGCGUCAUUUGUACCCUCAAGCUUUGCUUGGUGUUGGGCGUCUUGUCUUUUAUUAGACUCGCCUUAAAGUCAUUGGCAGCCAGUGUUUUUGGUAGUAAGCGCAGCACAUUUUGCGUCUUAGUCCUUAAAUCGUGGCAUCCAUGAAGCCUCUUUUUCACUUUUGACCUCGGAUCAGGUAGGGAUACCCGCUGAACUUAAGCAUAUCAAUAA
rnacentral:misc_RNA from 1 species